GACGAACGUUGGCGGCGUGCUUAACACAUGCAAGUCGAACGGAAAGGCCCUGCUUUUGUGGGGUGCUCGAGUGGCGAACGGGUGAGUAACACGUGAGUAACCUGCCCUUGACUUUGGGAUAACUUCAGGAAACUGGGGCUAAUACCGGAUAGGAGCUCCUGCUGCAUGGUGGGGGUUGGAAAGUUUCGGCGGUUGGGGAUGGACUCGCGGCUUAUCAGCUUGUUGGUGGGGUAGUGGCUUACCAAGGCCUUGACGGGUAGCCGGCCUGAGAGGGUGACCGGCCACAUUGGGACUGAGAUACGGCCCAGACUCCUACGGGAGGCAGCAGUGGGGAAUAUUGCACAAUGGGCGGAAGCCUGAUGCAGCAACGCCGCGUGCGGGAUGACGGCCUUCGGGUUGUAAACCGCUUUCGCCUGUGACGAAGCGUGAGUGACGGUAAUGGGUAAAGAAGCACCGGCUAACUACGUGCCAGCAGCCGCGGUGAUACGUAGGGUGCGAGCGUUGUCCGGAUUUAUUGGGCGUAAAGGGCUCGUAGGUGGUUGAUCGCGUCGGAAGUGUAAUCUUGGGGCUUAACCCUGAGCGUGCUUUCGAUACGGGUUGACUUGAGGAAGGUAGGGGAGAAUGGAAUUCCUGGUGGAGCGGUGGAAUGCGCAGAUAUCAGGAGGAACACCAGUGGCGAAGGCGGUUCUCUGGGCCUUUCCUGACGCUGAGGAGCGAAAGCGUGGGGAGCGAACAGGCUUAGAUACCCUGGUAGUCCACGCUGUAAACGGUGGGUACUAGGUGUGGGGUCCAUUCCACGGGUUCCGUGCCGUAGCUAACGCUUUAAGUACCCCGCCUGGGGAGUACGGCCGCAAGGCUAAAACUCAAAGGAAUUGACGGGGCCCCGCACAAGCGGCGGAGCAUGCGGAUUAAUUCGAUGCAACGCGUAGAACCUUACCUGGGUUUGACAUGGAUCGGGAGUGCUCAGAGAUGGGUGUGCCUCUUUUGGGGUCGGUUCACAGGUGGUGCAUGGCUGUCGUCAGCUCGUGUCGUGAGAUGUUGGGUUAAGUCCCGCAACGAGCGCAACCCUUGUUCACUGUUGCCAGCACGUUAUGGUGGGGACUCAGUGGAGACCGCCGGGGUCAACUCGGAGGAAGGUGGGGAUGACGUCAAGUCAUCAUGCCCCUUAUGUCCAGGGCUUCACGCAUGCUACAAUGGCUGGUACAGAGAGUGGCGAGCCUGUGAGGGUGAGCGAAUCUCGGAAAGCCGGUCUCAGUUCGGAUUGGGGUCUGCAACUCGACCUCAUGAAGUCGGAGUCGCUAGUAAUCGCAGAUCAGCAACGCUGCGGUGAAUACGUUCCCGGG
rnacentral:rRNA from 1 species